rnacentral:lncRNA from 1 species
UUUUUUUAAUUUAGAGACAGGGUUUUACUGAGUUGCUUAGGGCUUCACUAAGUUGCUGAGUCUGGCUUUGAAUGCAUGAUCCUCCUGUCUCAGCCACCCAAGCUGCUGGGAUUGCAGGCAUGCACCACUGCAUCUGGACAAUUUUGAAAGAUUAUUUUCAUUUUUGUUUUUGGAUAUAAAAUUCUUAGCUGACAAGUUUUCUUCUUUACUGCCUUCUUGCACUCAUUAUUUCUAAUGAGAAGUAAGUUGUUAAUCUGAUUGGGGUUCCUUUGUGUGUGGUGAGUUAUUUAUCUCUAAUUUCUUUCAAAUUUUUCCUUGUCUUUGUGUAUUUUUUGUACAAUGUACCUGAGGGUUGAUAUAUUUAUCUUACUUGGAGUUUGUUG